CUAGCAGGGCUUAGUGCACUAUAUAGGGGAGACUGUCGCACGUCUGACACAGGGCUUAGUGCACCAUAUAGGGGAGAAUAGCAGGGCUUAGUGCACUACAUAGGGGAGACUGUCGCACGUCUGACACAGGGCUUAGUGCACUAUAUAGGGGAGACUAGCAGGGCUUAGUGCACUAUAUAGGGGAGACUAGCAGGGCUUAGUGCACUAUAUAGGGGAGACUGUAGCACGGCUUAGUGCACUAUAUAGGGGAGACUGUAGCAGGGCUUAGUGUACUAUAUAGGGGAGACUGUAGCAGGGCUUAGUGUACUAUAUAGGGGAGACUGUAGCAGGGCUUAGUGCACUAUAUAGGGGAGACUGUAGCACGGCUUAGUGUACUAUAUAGGGGAGACUAGCAGGGCUUAGUGCACUAUAUAGGGGAGACUGUAGCAGGGCUUAGUGCACUAUAUAGGGGAGACUGUAGCUGGGUUUAGUGCACUAUAUAGGGGAGACUGUAGCAGGGUUUAGUGCACUAUAUAGGGGAGACUGUAGCAGGGUUUAGUGCACUAUAUAGGGGAGCCUGUAGCAGGGUUUAGUGCACUAUAUAGGGGAGACUGUAGCAGGGCUUAGUGCACUAUAUAGGGGAGACUGUAGCAGGGCUUAGUGCACUAUAUAGGGGAGACUGUAGCAGGGCUUAGUGCACUAUAUAGGGGAGACUGUAGCAGGGCUUAGUGCACUAUAUAGGGGAGAUUGUAGCAGGGCUUAGUGCACUAUAUAGGGGAGACUGUAGCAGGGUUUAGUGCACUAUAUAGGGGAGACUGUAGCAGGGCUUAGUGUACUAUAUAGGGGAGACUGUAGCACGUCUGACACAGGGCUUAGUGCACUAUAUAGGGGAGACUGUAGCAGGGUUUAGUGCACUAUAUAGGGGAGACUGUAGCAUGGCUUAGUGCACUAUAUAGGGGAGACUGUAGCAGGGUUUAGUGCACUAUAUAGGGGAGACUGUAGCAGGGCUUAGUGUACUAUAUAGGGGAGACUGUAGCACGUCUGACACAGGGCUUAGUGCACUAUAUAGGGGAGACUGUAGCAGGGUUUAGUGCACUAUAUAGGGGAGACUGUAGCAUGUCUGACACAGGGCUCAGUGCGCUAUAUAGGGGAGACUAGCAGGGUUUAGUGCACUAUAUAGGGGAGACUGUAGCACAUCUGACACAGGGCUUAGUGCACUAUAUAGGGGAGACUGUAGCAGGGCUUAGUGCACUAUAUAGGGGAGACUAGCAGGGUUUAGUGCACUAUAUAGGGGAGACUGUAGCAGGGCUUAGUGCACUAUAUAGGGGAGACUAGCAGGGUUUAGUGCACUAUAUAGGGGAGAAUGUAGCACAUCUGACACAGGGCUUAGUGCACUAUAUAGGGGAGACUAGCAGGGUUUAGUGCACUAUAUAGGGGAGAAUGUAGCACAUCUGACACAGGGCUUAGUGCACUAUAUAGGGGAGACUGUAGCAGGGCUUAGUGCACUAGAUAGGGGAGACUGUAGCAGGGCUUAGUGCACUAGAUAGGGGAGACUGUAGCAGGACUUAGUGCACUAUAUAGGGGAGACUGUAGCAGGGUUUAGUGUACUAUAUAGGGGAGACUGUAGCAGGGCUUAGUGUACUAUAUAGGGGAGACUGUAGCAGGGCUUAGUGUACUAUAUAGGGGAGACUGUAGCAGGGCUUAGUGAACUAUAUAGGGGAGACUGUAGCACAUCUGACACAGGGC